rnacentral:rRNA from 1 species
UACGAAGGGGGCUAGCGUUGCUCGGAAUCACUGGGCGUAAAGGGUGCGUAGGCGGGUCUUUUAAGUCAGGGGUGAAAUCCCGGGGCUCAACCCCGGAACUGCCUUUGAUACUGGUAGUCUCGAGUCCGGAAGAGGUGAGUGGAAUUCCGAGUGUAGAGGUGAAAUUCGUAGAUAUUCGGAGGAACACCAGUGGCGAAGGCGGCUCACUGGUCCGGUACUGACGCUGAGGUGCGAAAGCGUGGGGAGCAAACAGG